CGGGGUCCGCAUUGUAAUUUGCAGAGGAUGCUUCGGGAGCGGCCCCCAUCUAAGUGCCCUGGAACGGGCCGUCAUAGAGGGUGAGAAUCCCGUCUGGGAUGGGGUGCCCGCGCCCGUGUGAAGCUCCUUCGACGAGUCGAGUUGUUUGGGAAUGCAGCUCUAAAUGGGUGGUAAAUUUCAUCUAAAGCUAAAUACUGGCCGGAGACCGAUAGCGCACAAGUAGAGUGAUCGAAAGAUGAAAAGCACUUUGAAAAGAGAGUUAAACAGCACGUGAAAUUGUUGAAAGGGAAGCGCUUGCGACCAGACUCGCUCGCGGGGUUCAGCCGGCCUUCGGGCCGGUGUACUUCCCCGCGGGCGGGCCAGCGUCGGUUUGGGCGGCCGGUCAAAGGCCCUCGGAAUGUAACGCCCCCCGGGGCGUCUUAUAGCCGAGGGUGCCAUGCGGCCAGCCCGGACCGAGGAACGCGCUUCGGCUCGGACGCUGGCAUAAUGGUCGUAAGCGACCCGUCUUGAAACACGGACCAAGGAGUCUAACAUCUACGCGAGUGUUCGGGUGUCAAACCCGUGCGCGCAGUGAAAGCGAACGGAGGUGGGAACCCCUCGGGGUGCACCAUCGACCGAUCCUGAUGUCUUCGGAUGGAUUUGAGUAAGAGCGUAGCUGUUGGGACCCGAAAGAUGGUGAACUAUGCCUGAAUAGGGCGAAGCCAGAGGAAACUCUGGUGGAGGCUCGCAGCGGUUCUGACGUGCAAAUCGAUCGUCAAAUUUGGGUAUAGGGGCGAAAGACUAAUCGAACCAUC
rnacentral:rRNA from 1 species